GAUGAACGCUGGCGGCGUGCCUAAUACAUGCAAGUCGAGCGAACAGACGAGGAGCUUGCUCCUUUGACGUUAGCGGCGGACGGGUGAGUAACACGUGGGUAACCUACCUAUAAGACUGGGAUAACUUCGGGAAACCGGAGCUAAUACCGGAUAAUAUUUCGAACCGCAUGGUUCGAUAGUGAAAGAUGGCUCUGCUAUCACUUAUAGAUGGACCUGCGCCGUAUUAGCUAGUUGGUAAGGUAACGGCUUACCAAGGCAACGAUAAGUAGCCGACCUGAGAGGGUGAUCGGCCACACUGGAACUGAGACACGGUCCAGACUCCUACGGGAGGCAGCAGUAGGGAAUCUUCCGCAAUGGGCGAAAGCCUGACGGAGCAACGCCGCGUGAGUGAUGAAGGUCUUCGGAUCGUAAAACUCUGUUAUUAGGGAAGAACAAACGUGUAAGUAACUGUGCACGUCUUGACGGUACCUAAUCAGAAAGCCACGGCUAACUACGUGCCAGCAGCCGCAGUAA
rnacentral:rRNA from 1 species